rnacentral:rRNA from 1 species
CCAGACUCCUACGGGAGGCAGCAGUGGGGAAUAUUGCACAAUGGGGGAAACCCUGAUGCAGCGACGCCGCGUGAGUGAAGAAGUAUUUCGGUAUGUAAAGCUCUAUCAGCAGGGAAGAAAUACUGACCUUACGGUCAGCAGACGGUACCUGACUAAGAAGCCCCGGCUAACUACGUGCCAGCAGCCGCGGUAAUACGUAGGGGGCAAGCGUUAUCCGGAAUUACUGGGUGUAAAGGGAGCGUAGACGGCUGUGCAAGUCUGGAGUGAAAGGCGGGGGCCCAACCCCCGGACUGCUCUGGAAACUGUAUGGCUGGAGUGCAGGAGAGGUAAGCGGAAUUCCUAGUGUAGCGGUGAAAUGCGUAGAUAUUAGGAGGAACACCAGUGGCGAAGGCGGCUUACUGGACUGUAACUGACGUUGAGGCUCGAAAGCGUGGGGAGCAAACAGGAUUAGAUACCCUAGUAGG